GACGAACGCUGGCGGCGUGCUUAACACAUGCAAGUCGAACGAAGUGGCGAACGGGUGAGUAAGGCGUAAUCACCCUGCCCUUCAGAGGGGGACAACAGGUGGAAACGACUGCUAAUACCGAAUACGGAAGGAGGGGACUGCGUCUGAUUAGCUAGUUGGAGGGGUAACGGCCCACCAAGGCGACGAUCCCUAGCUGGUCUGAGAGGAUGACCAGCCACACUGGAACUGAGACACGGUCCAGACUCCUACGGGAGGCAGCAGUGGGGAAUAUUGCACAAUGGGCGCAAGCCUGAUGCAGCCAUGCCGCGUGUGUGAAGAAGGCCUUCGGGUUGUAAAGCACUUUCAGCGAAGAGCGUUACUUGCAGAAGAAGCACCGGCUAACUCCGUGCCAGCAGCCGCGGUAAUAC
rnacentral:rRNA from 1 species